rnacentral:lncRNA from 1 species
AAAAUAGUAUGUAUUUUCUUUAAAAGAAAAAAAGAAAAGAAAAAGAGAAAAGAAAAAACAAAAGAGAAAAAUGCACUUGCCGAGACUUAAGACUCUAACACAUAUAAAAUGCUCAGAAAAUUUGAGUAGAAAAAGAGUCAAAAGAGUGAAAUUAACCGCAGAGUAUACGUGAUGCACGAGAAAAAGAGAAAGAAAAAUCACACAACAUGACUACCGAGUUCAAAACCCUUUGUUAUCCAAUUUUUUUUGUUUAUCCCACCGUACCCAAGCCCCGUUACAAUCUAAAAAGACCUCGAAAAGUGUGUG